UACGGGGGGGGCAAGCGUUGUUCGGAAUUACUGGGCGUAAAGGGUGCGUAGGUGGCCAACUAAGUCAGACGUGAAAUCCCUCGGCUUAACCGGGGAACUGCGUCUGAUACUGGAUGGCUUGAGUUUGGGAGAGGGACGCGGAAUUCCAGGUGUAGCGGUGAAAUGCGUAGAUAUCUGGAGGAACACCGGUGGCGAAGGCGGCGUCCUGGACCAAUACUGACACUGAAACGCGAAAGCCAGGGGAGCAAACGGG
rnacentral:rRNA from 1 species